ACUCAAAUGAAUUGACGGGGGCCCGCACAAGCGGUGGAGCAUGUGGUUUAAUUCGACGCAACGCGAAGAACCUUACCAGCUCUUGACAUGUCCGGACGGUUUCCAGAGAUGGAUUCCUCCUAGCAAUAGGCCGGAACACAGGUGCUGCAUGGCUGUCGUCAGCUCGUGUCGUGAGAUGUUGGGUUAAGUCCCGCAACGAGCGCAACCCUCGCCAUUAGUUGCCAGCAUUUAGUUGGGCACUCUAGUGGGACUGCCGAAGAUAAUUCGGAGGAAGGCGGGGAUGACGUCAAGUCCUCAUGGCCCUUACGGGCUGGGCUACACACGUGCUACAAUGGCGGUGACAAUGGGCAGCCACCUCGCAAGAGGGAGCUAAUCUCAAAAAGCCGUCUCAGUUCGGAUUGGAGUCUGCAACUCGACUCCAUGAAGUUGGAAUCGCUAGUAAUCGCGCAUCAGCACGGCGCGGUGAAUACGUUCCCGGGCCUUGCACACACCGCCCGU
rnacentral:rRNA from 1 species